rnacentral:rRNA from 1 species
UGAACGCUGGCGGUAGGCCUAACACAUGCAAGUCGAACGGCAGCACAGUAAGAGCUUGCUCUUACGGGUGGCGAGUGGCGGACGGGUGAGGAAUACAUCGGAGUCUACUUUUUCGUGGGGGAUAACGUAGGGAAACUUACGCUAAUACCGCAUACGACCUACGGGGGAAAGCAGGGGAUCUUCGGACCUUGCGCGAUUGAAUGAGCCGAUGUCGGAUUAGCUAGUUGGCGGGGUAAAGGCCCACCAAGGCGACGAUCCGUAGCUGGUCUGAGAGGAUGAUCAGCCACACUGGAACUGAGACACGGUCCAGACUCCUACGGGAGGCAGCAGUGGGGAAUAUUGGACAAUGGGCGCAAGCCUGAUCCAGCCAUACCGCGUGGGUGAAGAAGGCCUUCGGGUUGUAAAGCCCUUUUGUUGGGAAAGAAAAGCAGCAGGUUAAUACCCCGCUGUUCUGACGGUACCCAAAGAAUAAGCACCGGCUAACUUCGUG